rnacentral:rRNA from 1 species
GGGUGAGUAAUGUCUGGGGAUCUGGCCUGAUGAGGGGAAUAACCACUGGAAACGGUGGCUAAUGCCGCAUAAUGUCGCAAGACCAAAGUGGGGGACUUUCGGGCCUCACGCACUAGGAUGAACCCAGAUGGGAUUAGCUAGUAGGUGGGGUAACGGCUCACCUAGUCGACGAUCCCUAGCUGGUCUGAGAGGAUGACCAGCCACACUGGAACUGAGACACGGUCCAGACUCCUACGGGAGGCAGCA